ACCUCCCUCUCAUUCACGUGUAUCUUCACUCUCACCUCCCUCUCAAUCUCUCUCCUCAAUAGCCAAUACCUUGGAGCUCCAACAAUAAGGAAUUAAUGAUAGAGGAAGCUAACUAUGAAGAGCGAGGAAGCACUGUCGCCAGUGAAGGGGAAGAAAAUAGAAGAAGGGGUUGUUAAAGGGUGGUUAUUGCGGUGGUGGUGGUGCAUGAGGAAAGAUACAUAUAGAGUAAAGUAAUCAUUGGAUGAAGAUCAACUUGUUGUAGUGGGACAGAAGAUCGAAUUCAGGAUAAAGAUCAAACUGUUGCUUUGAUUUUAAUCGCAAUGCUGUGAUCGAAUUGUUUAUGUGGGUAUUGUGUGAGAAAACGAGAAGAAUGGAAGAGUUGUAGUUAUAUGCUGAAAUCUUGUCCGUGGAAUUUAUCUGAUUUAACAAUCUA